rnacentral:misc_RNA from 1 species
UCUCCGUUGGUGAACCAGCGGAGGGAUCAUUACCGAGUUUACAACUCCCAAACCCCUGUGAACAUACCUAUCGUUGCCUCGGCGGUGCCCGCUCCGGCGGCCCGCCAGAGGACCCCCAAACUCCUGUUUUAUACAGUAUCUUCUGAGUAACACGAUUAAAUAAAUCAAAAUUUUCAACAACGGAUCUCUUGGUUCUG